rnacentral:rRNA from 1 species
GGUUAAGCGACUAAGCGUACACGGUGGAUGCCCUGGCAGUCAGAGGCGAUGAAGGGCGUGCUAAUCUGCGAUAAGCGCCGGUAAGGUGAUAUGAACCGUUAUAACCGGCGAUACCCGAAUGGGGAAACCCAGUGUGAUUCGUCACACUAUCAUUAACUGAAUCCAUAGGUUAAUGAGGCGAACCGGGGGAACUGAAACAUCUAAGUACCCCGAGGAAAAGAAAUCAACCGAGAUUCCCCCAGUAGCGGCGAGCGAACGGGGAGGAGCCCAGAGCCUGAAUCAGCAUGUGUGUUAGUGGAAGCGUCUGGAAAGGCGCGCGAUACAGGGUGACAGCCCCGUACACAAAAGCGCAUGUGCUGUGAGCUCGAUGAGUAGGGCGGGACACGUGGUAUCCUGUCUGAAUAUGGGGGGACCAUCCUCCAAGGCUAAAUACUCCUGACUGACCGAUAGUGAACCAGUACCGUGAGGGAAAGGCGAAAAGAACCCCGGCGAGGGGAGUGAAAAAGAACCUGAAACCGUGUACGUACAAGCAGUGGGAGCACAGGUUUACCUGUGUGACUGCGUACCUUUUGUAUAAUGGGUCAGCGACUUAUAUUCUGUAGCAAGGUUAACCGAAUAGGGGAGCCGGAGGGAAACCGAGUCUUAAUUGGGCGUUAAGUUGCAGGGUAUAGACCCGAAACCCGGUGAUCUAGCCAUGGGCAGGUUGAAGGUUGGGUAACACUAACUGGAGGACCGAACCGACUAAUGUUGAAAAAUUAGCGGAUGACCUGUGGCUGGGGGUGAAAGGCCAAUCAAACCGGGAGAUAGCUGGUUCUCCCCGAAAGCUAUUUAGGUAGCGCCUCGUGAAUUCAUCUCCGGGGGUAGAGCACUGUUUCGGCUAGGGGGCCAUCCCGGCUUACCAACCCGAUGCAAACUGCGAAUACCGGAGAAUGUUAUCACGGGAGACACACGGCGGGUGCUAACGUCCGUCGUGAAGAGGGAAACAACCCAGACCGCCAGCUAAGGUCCCAAAGUCAUGGUUAAGUGGGAAACGAUGUGGGAAGGCCCAGACAGCCAGGAUGUUGGCUUAGAAGCAGCCAUCAUUUAAAGAAAGCGUAAUAGCUCACUGGUCGAGUCGGCCUGCGCGGAAGAUGUAACGGGGCUAAACCAUGCACCGAAGCUGCGGCAGCGACGCUUAUGCGUUGUUGGGUAGGGGAGCGUUCUGUAAGCCUGUGAAGGUGUGUCGUGAGGCAUGCUGGAGGUAUCAGAAGUGCGAAUGCUGACAUAAGUAACGAUAAAGCGGGUGAAAAGCCCGCUCGCCGGAAGACCAAGGGUUCCUGUCCAACGUUAAUCGGGGCAGGGUGAGUCGACCCCUAAGGCGAGGCCGAAAGGCGUAGUCGAUGGGAAACGGGUUAAUAUUCCCGUACUUGGUGUUACUGCGAAGGGGGGACGGAGAAGGCUAUGUUGGCCGGGCGACGGUUGUCCCGGUUUAAGCGUGUAGGUGUGUGUUCCAGGUAAAUCCGGUU